rnacentral:rRNA from 1 species
ACGCUGGCGGCGUGCCUAAUACAUGCAAGUCGAGCGAGCUGAAUUCAAAGAUCCCUUCGGGGUGAUUUGUUGGAUGCUAGCGGCGGAUGGGUGAGUAACACGUGGGCAAUCUGCCCUAAAGACUGGGAUACCACUUGGAAACAGGUGCUAAUACCGGAUAACAACACGAAUCGCAUGAUUCAAGUUUGAAAGGCGGCGCAAGCUGUCACUUUAGGAUGAGCCCGCGGCGCAUUAGCUAGUUGGUGGGGUAAAGGCCUACCAAGGCAAUGAUGCGUAGCCGAGUUGAGAGACUGAUCGGCCACAUUGGGACUGAGACACGGCCCAAACUCCUACGGGAGGCAGCAGUAGGGAAUCUUCCACAAUGGACGCAAGUCUGAUGGAGCAACGCCGCGUGAGUGAAGAAGGUUUUCGGAUCGUAAAGCUCUGUUGUUGGUGAAGAAGGAUAGAGGCAGUAACUGGUCUUUAUUUGACGGUAAUCAACCAGAAAGUCACGGCUAACUACGUGCCAGCAGCCGCGGUAAUACGUAGGUGGCAAGCGUUGUCCGGAUUUAUUGGGCGUAAAGCGAGCGCAGGCGGAAUGAUAAGUCUGAUGUGAAAGCCCACGGCUCAACCGUGGAACUGCAUCGGAAACUGUCAUUCUUGAGUGCAGAAGAGGAGAGUGGAACUCCAUGUGUAGCGGUGGAAUGCGUAGAUAUAUGGAAGAACACCAGUGGCGAAGGCGGCUCUCUGGUCUGCAACUGACGCCGAGGCUCGAAAGCAUGGGUAGCGAACAGGAUUAGAUACCCUGGUAGUCCAUGCCGUAAACGAUGAGCGCUAGGUGUUGGGGACUUUCCGGUCCUCAGUGCCGCAGCAAACGCAUUAAGCGCUCCGCCUGGGGAGUACGACCGCAAGGUUGAAACUCAAAGGAAUU